AUUGAACGCUGGCUGCAGGCCUAACACAUGCAAGUCGAGCGAGCGUCGGACGGGUGAGUAAUGUAUGGGGUCUGCCCGUUAGCUGGGGUUAACUAUUGGACACGGUGGCUAAUACCGCAUCCUUUCGGUAGACCAAUAUGCGAUUAGCUAGUAGGUAAGGUAAUGGGUUACCUAGGAGACGAUCCCUAGCUGGUCUGCGGGGAUGAUCAGCCACACGGGGACUGAGCCACGGCCCAGACUCCUACGGAGGCAGCAGUGGGGAAUAUGGCACAAUGGGCGCAAGCCUGAUGCAGCCAUGCCGCGUGGAUGAAGAAGGCCCUAGGGUUGUAAAGUACUUUCAGUCGGGAGGCGUUACCGACAGAAGAAGCACCGGCUAACUCCGUGCCAGCAGCCGCGGUAAUUC
rnacentral:rRNA from 1 species